AUUGAACGCUGGCGGCAGGCUUAACACAUGCAAGUCGAGCGAGCGGCGGACGGGUGAGUAAUGUCUGGGAAACUGCCUGAUGGAGGGGGAUAACUACUGGAAACGGUAGCUUAUACCGCAUACCAUCAGAUGUGCCCAGAUGGGAUUAGCUAGUAGGUGGGGGAAUGGCUCACCUAGGCGAGGAGCCGUAGCUGGUCUGAGAGGAUGACCAGACAGACUGCAACGGAGACACGGUACAGACUCGUACGGUAGGCAGCAGUGGGGAAUAUUACACAAUGGGAGCAAGGCUGAUCCAGCCAUGCCGCGUGUAUGAAGAAGGCCUUCGGGUUGGAAAGUACUUUCAGCGGGGAGGCGUUACCCGAAGAAGAAGCACCGGCUAACUCCGUGCCAGCCGCCGCGGUAAUUC
rnacentral:rRNA from 1 species